rnacentral:rRNA from 1 species
UGGGGAAUAUUGGACAAUGGGCGAAAGCCUGAUCCAGCCAUGCCGCGUGUGUGAAGAAGGCCUUUUGGUUGUAAAGCACUUUAAGCGAGGAGGAGGCUACUUGGAUUAAUACUCUAGGAUAGUGGACGUUACUCGCAGAAUAAGCACCGGCUAACUCUGUGCCAGCAGCCGCGGUAAUUCAGAGGGUGCGAGCGUUAAUCGGAUUUACUGGGCGUAAAGCGUGCGUAGGCGGCUUCUUAAGUCGGAUGUGAAAUCCCUGAGCUUAACUUAGGAAUUGCAUUCGAUACUGGGAAGCUAGAGUAUGGGAGAGGAUGGUAGAAUUCCAGGUGUAGCGGUGAAAUGCGUAGAGAUCUGGAGGAAUACCGAUGGCGAAGGCAGCCAUCUGGCCUAAUACUGACGCUGAGGUACGAAAGCAUGGGGAGCAAACAGG